UUGCCAGGCUCGUUAAGUGAAUCACUGCACUUCGAAUCCGGAUUCCCCAUUUGGCUUUGCAGCUGGAAAGGUCACAAAUCAGGAUGAAGUGGCCCCAGGGCACUAUAAUUCUUAUAUGCUGGUACCUGGUUCCGAUCACCUGGCCCCAGGGAUGCUGCAAUGGCCGUAAGUACGAGGACUGGUUGCAAGUCACUUUUGUCAAUGCUGUUGUAACUGAUUGGUCCCUAAACAGACGUUUGUAAGUCAAAGCCUCCCUGUAAAAUGUGAAAUAAGAAAGAUAACAUUUAACAGCAGCUUUUUAAAUAUAUAUCUACUGGAUCAGAGAUAGGAUCCUGUGGAAAUCCAGGGAACGUUUUAUCUUUAAAAAAAAAGGGAAAUUCAGAGAUGGGGAAAGAAACUUUGGAUCAUUUGUGCAAGUGGUUUUGCAUAAAGCAACUGAGCCUGUUAAAAAAGGGGGGAUCAUUUGAUUGCCUAAUGCAAAGUUUAUUUUUCAAAGCCUGAGAGUGCUUAAAACAACUGUUCGCUUUUGAUAUUAAACUACCUUCAACCCAAGG